rnacentral:rRNA from 1 species
AUUGAACGCUGGCGGCAGGCCUAACACAUGCAAGUCGAGCGGUAGCACAGAGAGCUUGCUCUCGGGUGACGAGCGGCGGACGGGUGAGUAAUGUCUGGGAAACUGCCUGAUGGAGGGGGAUAACUACUGGAAACGGUAGCUAAUACCGCAUAAUGUCGCAAGACCAAAGUGGGGGACCUUCGGGCCUCAUGCCAUCAGAUGUGCCCAGAUGGGAUUAGCUAGUAGGUGGGGUAACGGCUCACCUAGGCGACGAUCCCUAGCUGGUCUGAGAGGAUGACCAGCCACACUGGAACUGAGACACGGUCCAGACUCCUACGGGAGGCAGCAGUGGGGAAUAUUGCACAAUGGGCGCAAGCCUGAUGCAGCCAUGCCGCGUGUGUGAAGAAGGCCUUCGGGUUGUAAAGCACUUUCAGCGGGGAGGAAGGCGUUAAGGUUAAUAACCUUGGCGAUUGACGUUACCCGCAGAAGAAGCACCGGCUAACUCCGUGCCAGCAGCCGCGGUAAUACGGAGGGUGCAAGCGUUAAUCGGAAUUACUGGGCGUAAAGCGCACGCAGGCGGUCUGUCAAGUCGGAUGUGAAAUCCCCGGGCUCAACCUGGGAACUGCAUUCGAAACUGGCAGGCUAGAGUCUUGUAGAGGGGGGUAGAAUUCCAGGUGUAGCGGUGAAAUGCGUAGAGAUCUGGAGGAAUACCGGUGGCGAAGGCGGCCCCCUGGACAAAGACUGACGCUCAGGUGCGAAAGCGUGGGGAGCAAACAGGAUUAGAUACCCUGGUAGUCCACGCCGUAAACGAUGUCGAUUUGGAGGUUGUGCCCUUGAGGCGUGGCUUCCGGAGCUAACGCGUUAAAUCGACCGCCUGGGGAGUACGGCCGCAAGGUUAAAACUCAAAUGAAUUGACGGGGGCCCGCACAAGCGGUGGAGCAUGUGGUUUAAUUCGAUGCAACGCGAAGAACCUUACCUGGUCUUGACAUCCACAGAACUUAGCAGAGAUGCUUUGGUGCCUUCGGGAACUGUGAGACAGGUGCUGCAUGGCUGUCGUCAGCUCGUGUUGUGAAAUGUUGGGUUAAGUCCCGCAACGAGCGCAACCCUUAUCCUUUGUUGCCAGCGGUUAGGCCGGGAACUCAAAGGAGACUGCCAGUGAUAAACUGGAGGAAGGUGGGGAUGACGUCAAGUCAUCAUGGCCCUUACGACCAGGGCUACACACGUGCUACAAUGGCAUAUACAAAGAGAAGCGACCUCGCGAGAGCAAGCGGACCUCAUAAAGUAUGUCGUAGUCCGGAUUGGAGUCUGCAACUCGACUCCAUGAAGUCGGAAUCGCUAGUAAUCGUAGAUCAGAAUGCUACGGUGAAUACGUUCCCGGGCCUUGUACACACCGCCCGUCACACCAUGGGAGUGGGUUGCAAAAGAAGUAGGUAGCUUAACCUUCGGGAGGGCGCUUACCACUUUGUGAUU